CCUACGGGGGGCUGCAGUGGGGAAUAUUGGACAAUGGGCGCAAGCCUGAUCCAGCAAUGCCGCGUGUGUGAAGAAGGCCCUCGGGUUGUAAAGCACUUUUAUCAGGAACGAAAUACCACGGGUUAAUACCCUAUGGGGCUGACGGUACCUGAGGAAUAAGCACCGGCUAACUUCGUGCCAGCAGCCGCGGUAAUACGAAGGGUGCAAGCGUUAAUCGGAGUUACUGGGGGUAAAGGGUGCGUAGGCGUGUGAAAUCCCCGGGCUCAACCUGGGAAUGGCAAUGGAUACUGGCGAGCUAGAGUGUGUCAGAGGAUGGUGGAAUUCCCGGUGUAGCGGUGAAAUGCGUAGAGAUCGGGAGGAACAUCAGUGGCGAAGGCGGCCAUCUGGGACAACACUGACGCUGAAGCACGAAAGCGUGGGGAGCAAACAGGAUUAGAUACCCAAGUAGUC
rnacentral:rRNA from 1 species